GGAAUAUUGCGCAAUGGAGGAAACUCUGACGCAGUGACGCCGCGUAUAGGAUGAAGGUUUUCGGAUUGUAAACUAUUGUCAUAGGGGAAGAUAAAAGACUGUACCCUAAGAGGAAGCUCCGGCUAACUACGUGCCAGCAGCCGCGGUAAUACGUAGGGAGCGAGCGUUAUCCGGAUUUAUUGGGUGUAAAGGGUGCGUAGACGGGAAAUUAAGUUAGUUGUGAAAUCCCUCGGCUUAACUGAGGAACUGCAACUAAAACUGGUUUUCUUGAGUGUCGGAGAGGAAAGAGGAAUUCCUAGUGUAGCGGUGAAAUGCGUAGAUAUUAGGAGGAACACCGGUGGCGAAGGCGUCUUUCUGGACGAUAACUGACGUUGAGGCACGAAAGUGUGGGGAGCAAACA
rnacentral:rRNA from 1 species